rnacentral:rRNA from 1 species
GACGAACGCUGGCGGCGUGCCUAAUACAUGCAAGUUGAGCGAUGAAGAUUGGUGCUUGCACCAAUUUGAAGAGCAGCGAACGGGUGAGUAACGCGUGGGGAAUCUGCCUUUGAGCGGGGGACAACAUUGGGAAACGAAUGCUAAUACCGCAUAACAACUUUAAACAUAAGUUUUAAGUUUGAAAGAUGCAAUUGCAUCACUCAAAGAUGAUCCCGCGUUGUAUUAGCUAGUUGGUGAGGUAAAGGCUCACCAAGGCGAUGAUACAUAGCCGACCUGAGAGGGUGAUCGGCCACAUUGGGACUGAGACACGGCCCAAACUCCUACGGGAGGCAGCAGUAGGGAAUCUUCGGCAAUGGACGAAAGUCUGACCGAGCAACGCCGCGUGAGUGAAGAAGGUUUUCGGAUCGUAAAACUCUGUUGGUAGAGAAGAACGUUGGUGAGAGUGGAAAGCUCAUCAAGUGACGGUAACUACCCAGAAAGGGACGGCUAACUACGUG